GACAGAGGUGCCGAGCGUUAGGCGGAAUCACUGGGCUUAAAGCGUGUGUAGGCGGAUCGUUAAGUGCCUUGUGAAAUCCCACGGCUCAACCGUGGAACUGCUUGGCAUACUGGCGAUCUUGAGCCACUUAGGGGCAACCGGAACAAACGGUGGAGCGGAUGAAAUGCGUAGAUAUCGUAAGGAAGACCAGUGGCGAAGGCGGGUCUCUGGACAGUUCCUGACGCUGAGGCACGAAGGUCAGGGGAGCAAACGGG
rnacentral:rRNA from 1 species